rnacentral:rRNA from 1 species
GACGAACGCUGGCGGCGUGCUUAACACAUGCAAGUCGAACGGAAAGGCCCUGCUUUUGUGGGGUGCUCGAGUGGCGAACGGGUGAGUAACACGUGAGUAACCUGCCCUUGACUUUGGGAUAACUUCAGGAAACUGGGGCUAAUACCGGAUAGGAGCUCCUGCUGCAUGGUGGGGGUUGGAAAGUUUCGGCGGUUGGGGAUGGACUCGCGGCUUAUCAGCUUGUUGGUGGGGUAGUGGCUUACCAAGGCUUUGACGGGUAGCCGGCCUGAGAGGGUGACCGGCCACAUUGGGACUGAGAUACGGCCCAGACUCCUACGGGAGGCAGCAGUGGGGAAUAUUGCACAAUGGGCGGAAGCCUGAUGCAGCACCGCCGCGUGCGGGAUGACGGCCUUCGGGUUGUAAACCGAUUUCGCCUGUGACGAAGCGUGAGUGACGGUAAUGGGUAAAGAAGCACCGGCUAACUACGUG